AUUGAACGCUGGCGGCAGGCCUAACACAUGCAAGUCGAACGGAGUGGCGGACGGGUGAGUAAUGUCUGGGAAACUGCCUGAUGGGGGGGUAUCACCUCUGGAACCGGUCGCUAACCCCGUAUACUAUCAUAUGACCCUAGGUGGGAUUAGCUAGUUGGUGGGGUAAAGGCCUACCAAGGCGACGAUCCGUAGCUGGUCUGAGAGGAUGAUCAGUCACACUGGAACUGAGACACGGUCCAGACUCCUACGGGAGGCAGCAGUGGGGAAUAUUGGACAAUGGGCGAAAGCCUGAUGCAGCCAUGCCGCGUGUGUGAAGAAGGUCUUCGGAUUGUAAAGCACUUUAAGUUGGGAGGCGUUACCAGCAGAAUAAGCACCGGCUAACUUCGUGCCAGCCGCCGCGGUAAUAC
rnacentral:rRNA from 1 species